CCUCUUUCAGGGUCACACCUGGACAGUUUCCAGUACUCUAUCAGUCUUGACUAUGGGAGGGAGAGUCAAGCAGAGGCCUACCCAUUCCAUUCCUAGCUUGGGCAGUGGCUAGAGAGUGGAAGGCAAUCUGCUGAAAGA
rnacentral:snoRNA from 1 species